CACACCCUCGCUCUAACCCCGUCUGGCUCCCAGACACUCUCUCUCUCUCUCUUUCACACACUCACACACACAUGGUGUCUGCGAGGGUGCCGGGCGCUCCCUCUGAAGACUCAAAGUGAUCUUCAGGAUUCUCUCAGUCUCUGAGUUUUGGGAAGGGAGAGUGAGCAAAAACUGCAAAAAAGUAACAGCGUGUGCUGAUGUCUCACUCUCUCUCUGGUCUGCAUCAGUGGGCUGGUCUCCUGUGCCUGCUGUGCUGAUAAUCAGUGUCUCUCUUCAGCUGGCUCAGUUCAGCAGGAACAGGGGCCUGGUCUUGCCAACAUAACACCUUAGAGACUCACAUCUACACACACACACACAUAUACACACACACACAGAUGCAUGACACCAGAUGCACACUCUCAGGAAAAUCCACACCCGACACACACUCCACAGCUGGGAUCCAGAGCAAGAUGUUUCUAUAUACAGUACGGUACUGUAGAAAUGUAUUAAAGUUAUGAAUGUGGUAAUGUGUGAUAAUAAGAAUGUAGGCUGCUAAUUAUGGACUGGCGCCAGAGACUUGUCCUGUGACAUCAAUGAAACCGAGACAUCAAUAAAAGCUAAAAGGCUCCAAGUCAAA